CUUAUGUUUCCUCUGGGAGUGGUUUGUACUGGUUUAAACUGGUUUAUACUGGUCUAUACUGGUUUAUACUGGUUUAUACUGGUUUAAACUGGUUUGUACUGGUGCAGGUUCCUGGCCCCGGUGCUGGGGGCCCUGCGGGGGGGCCUGGGAGACCCCGACGGCGCCGUCAGGGGGGCGGCGGCGGCGGCGCUGAGGGAGCUGAGGGAGGAGCUGCAGCCCGAGGUGGCUCCGCUGGCGGCCGAGGCCCUCCCGAGGAUUUUGGGGGAAUUUUGGGGCUCCCGGAAUUCCGGGAAUUCCCCAAAUCCCGACCCCAGGUCCUGGUUCGUGCUGGAGACGCUGCUGGAGGCGCUGGGGGAGGGGGUUCAGCCCUGGCUGCCCCAGGUGAUUCCCAGGAUUUUGGGAGCUUUGGAGGCGUCGGAGCCGGAGCGGAGCCGGGAGCUGGCGCUGAGCGCGCUGCACGCGCUGGCCUGCAGCUCCGGCUCCCUGCACCUCCCCUCCCCCGCCCUGGCAGCCGUCACCGCCCUGGCCCGGGGGGGACCCCAGCAGUUACAGGCACUGGGUUUGUACUGGUUUGAACUGGUUUGGACUGGGAGGGGCUGGGAGGGGCUGGGAGGGGGAGAAAUGGGGGAAAAACGGGAAAAAUUGGG
rnacentral:lncRNA from 1 species